rnacentral:lncRNA from 1 species
UGAGGUUUUAUGGUGUGCCAAGUAGAAUUGGGUUUUAUGAGGUGCCAAGUAGAAUUGGGAAUAGGCCAGAUGAAUGAGUUGAUAUGCAUGAUUAGAUUCUAGAGCGUAGCGAUAUGAUUAAUGCAUGACAAUGAUUUAUGUGUUGAUUUGAAUGCUUUUAACCGGUGCCCCUAUGGUGAGAAAUGGAAUGGUUAAGGCUUAGAGAGGUUG